AAAAUAACUUUCUAAAAAGAAAAAAAAUUAAAUUAAUUUAAAAGUAAAAAAGCUUUUAAGCUUUAGAAAGACGAGAAGACCCUAGAACCUGUUCUAUUCCUAUAGUUUGUUGGGGUGACAUUAUUCAAAACAAAUAACUAUUAAAACUUAUUAAUUGACUCUAUCCAUCUUUAUUAAAAAAAAAAAAGGUACUCUAGG
rnacentral:rRNA from 1 species